rnacentral:rRNA from 1 species
GUGGGCUGCACCAGAAGCCAGUAGCUUAACCGAAAGGGGAGCGCUGACCACGGUGUGGUUCAUGACUGGGGUGAAGUCGUAACAAGGUAGCCGUAGGUGAACCUGCAGAAGGAUCA